rnacentral:rRNA from 1 species
GAUGAACGCUGGCGGCGUGCUUAACACAUGCAAGUCGAACGAUGAAGCUCAGCUUGCUGGGUGGAUUAGUGGCGAACGGGUGAGUAACACGUGAGUAACCUGCCCUUAACUCUGGGAUAAGCCUGGGAAACUAGGUCUAAUACCGGAUAGGAGCGCCUACCGCAUGGUGGGUGUUGGAAAGAUUUAUCGGUUUUGGAUGGACUCGCGGCCUAUCAGCUUGUUGGUGAGGUAAUGGCUCACCAAGGCGACGACGGGUAGCCGGCCUGAGAGGGUGACCGGCCACACUGGGACUGAGACACGGCCCAGACGCCUACGGGAGGCAGCAGGGGGGAAUAUUGCACAAUGGGCGAAAGCCUGAUGCAGCGACGCCGCGUGAGGGAUGACGGCCUUCGGGUUGUAAACCUCUUUCAGUAGGGAAGAAGCGAAAGUGACGGUACCUGCAGAAGAAGCACCGGCUAACUACGUG